rnacentral:lncRNA from 1 species
AUGCUGCUUAUCCUACAGCCUCCAAAUUUAACUGUCCCAACAAGUCACACAAACAAAGCAGUAGUUUUCAUUGCCUUCUGCUUAGACAAAAUUGAAAUAUUUGCCAUGAAAUAUCUGGAUUCUAAUAUUUUACAGGAUUCUACCUCACCAUCUUACAACCGUCAGAGUGAACGGGAGUCAUAUUCUUCUGGAGCUAGUCAAUAUGGUGGACAAGGUUCACCUUACUCUGGAGGCAGCCAAUAUGGAGGGCAGGGUCCAUCUUCCUCAGGUGGCAGCCAGUAUGGAGGGCAGGUGAGAACUUUUUUUCCUACAUGUGGAUUGUUGUUCAGUUGUUCAUCUUUCUCUCUUCUUUUCUGUGAAAAACAAGGUCCUUUAUAAAGGCUUGGCUUAAAGCAAAGCACUGUUCAGGCAGAACGGGUGAAUGUGACAUCUUCUGUGUCAGCCCAUGCAGGAAAAUGAAACACACAAAUCUGCCCUGAGCAGUGAAUCAUUUGCAGAUGGGCCAUGCACAGUUACCUGAAGCUGCCUUUAAUUUAAAAUUUCUUGUCCUGUUUUAAACUGUGUAGCAGUUUUAAACAAUAAAUCAAUAUUUUAAAAUAGCUUUAAAGAAAG